rnacentral:rRNA from 1 species
CAUGCAAGUCGAACGGAAAGUGCUCUUCGGAGUGACUCGAGUGGCGAACGGGUGAGUAACACGUGGGUGAUCUGCCCUGCACUUUGGGAUAAGCCUGGGAAACUGGGUCUAAUACCGGAUAGGACUACGAAUCGCAUGGUUUGUGGUGGAAAGCUUUUGCGGUGUGGGAUGGGCCCGCGGCCUAUCAGCUUGUUGGUGGGGUGAUGGCCUACCAAGGCGACGACGGGUAGCCGGCCUGAGAGGGUGUCCGGCCACACUGGGACUGAGAUACGGCCCAGACUCCUACGGGAGGCAGCAGUGGGGAAUAUUGCACAAUGGGCGCAAGCCUGAUGCAGCGACGCCGCGUGAGGGAUGACGGCCUUCGGGUUGUAAACCUCUUUCAACGCCGACGAAGCGGAAGUGACGGUAGGCGGAGAAGAAGCACCGGCCAACUACGUGCCAGCAGCCGCGGUAAUACGUAGGGUGCGAGCGUUGUCCGGAAUUACUGGGCGUAAAGAGCUCGUAGGUGGUUUGUCGCGUUGUUCGUGAAAACUCACA